rnacentral:rRNA from 1 species
CGUAGGGGGCAAGCGUUGUUCGGAAUUACUGGGCGUAAAGGGCGCGUAGGCGGCAGGUCAAGUCGGGAGUGAAAGCCCGGGGCUCAACCCCGGAACGUCUUUCGAAACUGGCCAGCUUGAGUGCGGAAGAGGCAACUGGAAUUCCCAGUGUAGCGGUGAAAUGCGUAGAUAUUGGGAAGAACACCUGAGGCGAAGGCGGGUUGCUGGGCCGACACUGACGCUGAGGCGCGAAAGCCAGGGGAGCAAACGGGAUUAGAUACCCCGGUAGUCCUGGCCCUAGACGAUGGAUACUUGGUGUGUGGUGUUCUCUAAGUCCCCGCGUGCCGGAGCUAACGCGGUAAGUAUCCCGCCUGGGGAGUACGGUCGCAAGGCUG